rnacentral:ribozyme from 13 species
AUACCACCGUAGGAGGUGGAGCAGGAAUUAAAUCGAGAACCCGAAAAAUUGACAUUAAAUCUUCCUCUUCUUCAGUUUUUUGCUUGCCUUCUUCCUCUUCCUCUUCCUUUUCUUCUUCCUUUUCCUC